AUUGAACGCUGGCGGCAGGCUUAACACAUGCAAGUCGAGCGGGGUGAUGGUGCUUGCACUAUCACUUAGCGGCGGACGGGUGAGUAAUGCUUAGGAAUCUGCCUAUUAGUGGGGGACAACAUCUCGAAAGGGAUGCUAAUACCGCAUACGUCCUACGGGAGAAAGCAGGGGAUCACUUGUGACCUUGCGCUAAUAGAUGAGCCUAAGUCGGAUUAGCUAGUUGGUGGGGUAAAGGCCUACCAAGGCGACGAUCUGUAGCGGGUCUGAGAGGAUGAUCCGCCAGACUGGGACUGAGGCCCGGCCCAGACUCCUACGGGAGGUAGAGGUGGGGAAUAUUGAACAAUGGGGGGGACCCUGAUCCAGCCAUGCCGCGUGUGUGAAAAAGGCCUUAUGGUUGUAAAGCACUUUAAGCGAGGAGGAGGCUCUUUUGGUUAAUACCCAAGAUGAGUGGACGUUACUCGCAGAAUAAGCACCGGCUAACUCUGUGCCAGCCGCCGCCGUAA
rnacentral:rRNA from 1 species